AACGAACGCUGGCGGCAGGCUUAACACAUGCAAGUCGAACGCCCCGCAAGGGGAGUGGCAGACGGGUGAGUAACGCGUGGGAACAUACCCUUUUCUACGGAAUAGCUCUGGGAAACUGGAAUUAAUACCGUAUACGCCCUACGGGGGAAAGAUUUAUCGGGGAAGGAUUGGCCCGCGUUGGAUUAGCUAGUUGGUGGGGUAAAGGCCCACCAAGGCGACGAUCCAUAGCUGGUCUGAGAGGAUGAUCAGCCACAUUGGGACUGAGACACGGCCCAAACUCCUACGGGAGGCAGCAGUGGGGAAUAUUGGACAAUGGGCGCAAGCCUGAUCCAGCCAUGCCGCGUGAGUGAUGAAGGCCUUAGGGUUGUAAAGCUCUUUCACCGAUGAAGAUAAUGACGGUAGUCGGAGAAGAAGCCCCGGCUAACUUCGUG
rnacentral:rRNA from 1 species